AGGGUUUGAUCAUGGCUCAGGACGAACGCUGGCGGCGUGCUUAACACAUGCAAGUCGAACGAACUCGGACUUCGGUCCAUAUGGGUGAGUGGCGAACGGGUGAGUAACACGUGAGAAACCUGCCCCGAAGUCGGGAAUAACUCAGGGAAAUUUGAGCUAAUACCGGAUGCCCUCUUCUGAUCGCAUGAUCGGAUGAGGAAAGAUUUAUCGCUUUGGGAGGGUCUCGCGACCUAUCAGCUAGUUGGUGAGGUAAUGGCUCACCAAGGCAUCGACGGGUAGCUGGUUUGAGAGAACGAUCAGCCACACUGGAACUGAGACACGGUCCAGACUCCUACGGGAGGCAGCAGUGGGGAAUCUUGCACAAUGGGCGAAAGCCUGAUGCAGCGACGCCGCGUGGGGGAUGAAGGCCUUAGGGUCGUAAACCCCUUUCAGUAGGGAAGAAAAUGACGGUACCUACAGAAGAAGCUCCGGCCAACUACGUGCCAGCAGCCGCGGUAAGACGUAGGGGGCGAGCGUUGUCCGGAUUUAUUGGGCGUAAAGGGCUCGUAGGCGGUUACGUAAGUCGGAUGUGAAAACUCGAGGCUCAACUUCGAGACGCCAUCCGAUACUGCGUUGACUUGAGUCCGGUAGAGGAGUGUGGAAUUCCUAGUGUAGCGGUGAAAUGCGCAGAUAUUAGGAGGAACACCUAUUGCGAAGGCAGCACUCUGGGCCGGUACUGACGCUGAGGAGCGAAAGCAUGGGUAGCAAACAGGAUUAGAUACCCUGGUAGUCCAUGCCGUAAACGGUGGGCACUAGAUG
rnacentral:rRNA from 1 species